rnacentral:rRNA from 1 species
UACGAAGGGGGCUAGCGUUGUUCGGAAUCACUGGGCGUAAAGCGCACGUAGGCGGAUCUUUAAGUCAGGGGUGAAAUCCCGGGGCUCAACCUCGGAACUGCCUUUGAUACUGCGAGUCUCGAGUCCGAUAGAGGUGGGUGGAAUUCCUAGUGUAGAGGUGAAAUUCGUAGAUAUUAGGAAGAACACCGGUGGCGAAGGCGGCCCACUGGAUCGGUACUGACGCUGAGGUGCGAAAGCGUGGGGAGCAAACAGG